UGAGAAUGGGUUUCAAGCAACGUGUUUGGAGUGUGGGAAUAACAUCCCUAGUUUGCAGCAGCAGAUCAGUUCCUUUAGGCAGCAAAGCAUUAACAUUCUUUGAUGGCAAUUUCAGGUAAUUCUCUAAGUGAUCUGUAUGGGGAGAGUGAGAAGAUGUGCAUUUCUUCUGAAAAUGUCAGAAUCACUAAUAUAGACAAAGAAAGUUUUGUAAGUGCCAGAGGUAAGAAAAGGAACACAAAGAUGAGAGGUGACUAAUGAAGAUUUUCAGGCUUUCAUUUUUUUUCUGCAUGGUUUGUAAAGACUGUCAUUCAGCACCAACGAAACAACAGCCCAAAUAACCAAGCCUUCCUGGAGAUGAAAUUCCAUGUGAUUUGAAGGAAUGCAGAAGUAAAAUUCAGCUCCCUUUCCUCUCAGUGCAGAGAGGGAACCACAUGGUGUGAAAAACCAUGUGGUAUGCUUAGCACUUUUUUGGCUUACAGAUUUCACCAGAGGUGCAGCCAUGAAGAGAAACAUUGAAGAGAACAUUGCAAUGAAGCAGGCUGAGUCCUCUGAUUCUUCCAGGCAGAAAAUGGCCAUAAACUGAGGAGCCUUUCAGGUUGUUUAAAUGUUGUUUAAAGGAUCUCCGUGACCUCUCCAAAAAGGACCUUCUCCUGAGCUUUGUUUUCUUUGCCACAUAGCAUGUGGUUGUGUCAUGGAGUUAUUUUUGUUUUACCACUUAUAAUGAAAGAUCUCUCUUCGCCAGUGCCUAGUUACUUAUGGUUACCUUAAAUAUGUUAAAAGUCAGUGAUAUUUGGAAUUGAGACAAAGGUCGAAGCUUAGUUCUAAAACUCAGGAUGUGGGAUUUAAGGAUUUCCAGAAUAAACAUUAGAGUGAAAUGAGAAACA
rnacentral:lncRNA from 1 species